GUCUACGGCCAUACCACCCUGAACGCGCCCGAUCUCGUCUGAUCUCGGAAGCUAAGCAGGGUCGGGCCUGGUUAGUACUUGGAAGGGGGAGAUCUGUUUCCCCAUACA
rnacentral:rRNA from 1 species